UAAACGGCGGCCGUAACUAUAACGGUCCUAAGGUAGCGAAAUUCCUUGUCGGGUAAGUUCCGACCUGCACGAAUGGCAUAAUGAUGGCGGCGCUGUCUCCAGCAGAGGCUCAGUGAAAUCGAAAUCGCUGUGAAGAUGCAGUGUACCCGCGGCUAGACGGAAAGACCCCGUGAACCUUUACUGCAGCUUGACACUGAACUUUGACCUUACUUGUGUAGGAUAGGUGGGAGGCUUUGAAGUUGGAACGCUAGUUCCAAUGGAGCCGUCCUUGAAAUACCACCCUGGUAAUGUUGAGGUUCUAACUCUGUCCCGUUAUCCGGGACGAGGACCGUGUCUGGUGGGUAGUUUGACUGGGGCGGUCUCCUCCUAAAGAGUAACGGAGGAGUACGAAGGUGCGCUCAGCGUGGUCGGAAAUCACGCGUAGAGUAUAAAGGCAAAAGCGCGCUUAACUGCGAGACCCACAAGUCGAGCAGGUACGAAAGUAGGUCUUAGUGAUCCGGUGGUUCUGUAUGGAAGGGCCAUCGCUCAACGGAUAAAAGGUACUCUGGGGAUAACAGGCUGAUACCGCCCAAGAGUUCAUAUCGACGGCGGUGUUUGGCACCUCGAUGUCGGCUCAUCACAUCCUGGGGCUGAAGUAGGUCCCAAGGGUAUGGCUGUUCGCCAUUUAAAGUGGUACGCGAGCUGGGUUUAGAACGUCGUGAGACAGUUCGGUCCCUAUCUACCGUGGGCGCUGGAAAUUUGAGAGGAUCUGCUCCUAGUACGAGAGGACCAGAGUGGACGAACCUCUGGUGUACCGGUUGUGACGCCAGUCGCAUCGCCGGGUAGCUAUGUUCGGAAGGGAUAACCGCUGAAAGCAUCUAAGCGGGAAGCCUACCUCAAGAUAAGAUUUCCCUAGGACUUUAUGUCCUCUAAAGAGCCGUUCGAGACUAGGACGUUGAUAGGUUGGAUGUGGAAGCAUAGUGAUAUGUGAAGCUGACCAAUACUAAUUGCUCGUGAGGCUUGACUAU
rnacentral:rRNA from 1 species